rnacentral:snoRNA from 1 species
GCUGGUGUAAAUGAUGACUUCACUUUUUUCCCCGUCAUAUCGACAAUGCUGAACUCUCAAAAUAUUUUGCCAGUUAGUCCUGAUACGCCAGC